rnacentral:rRNA from 1 species
AUUGAACGCUGGCGGCAGGCUUAACACAUGCAAGUCGAGCGGAGAGAGGUAGCUUGCUACCGAUCUUAGCGGCGGACGGGUGAGUAAUGCUUAGGAAUCUGCCUAUUAGUGGGGGACAACAUUUCGAAAGGAAUGCUAAUACCGCAUACGUCCUACGGGAGAAAGCAGGGGAUCUUCGGACCUUGCGCUAAUAGAUGAGCCUAAGUCGGAUUAGCUAGUUGGUGGGGUAAAGGCCUACCAAGGCGACGAUCUGUAGCGGGUCUGAGAGGAUGAUCCGCCACACUGGGACUGAGACACGGCCCAGACUCCUACGGGAGGCAGCAGUGGGGAAUAUUGGACAAUGGGCGCAAGCCUGAUCCAGCCAUGCCGCGUGUGUGAAGAAGGCCUUAUGGUUGUAAAGCACUUUAAGCGAGGAGGAGGCUACUCUAGUUAAUACCUAGAGAUAGUGGACGUUACUCGCAGAAUAAGCACCGGCUAACUCUGUGCCAGCCGCCGCAGUAAGAC